GUGAACGCUGGCGGUAGGCCUAACACCUGCAAGUCGAACGGCAGCACAGUAAGAGCUUGCUCUUACGGGUGGCGAGUGGCGGACGGGUGAGGAAUACAUCGGAAUCUACUUUUUCGUGGGGGAUAACGUAGGGAAACUUACGCUACUACCGCAUACGACCUACGGGUGAAAGCAGGGGAUCUUCGGACCUUGCGCGAUUGAAUGAGCCGAUGUCGGAUUAGCUAGUUGGCGGGGUAAAGGCCCACCAAGGCGACGAUCCGUAGCUGGUCUGAGAGGAUGAUCAGCCACACUGGAACUGAGACACGGUCCAGACUCCUACGGGAGGCAGCAGUGGGGAAUAUUGGACAAUGGGCGCAAGCCUGAUCCAGCCAUACCGCGUGGGUGAAGAAGGCCUUCGGGUUGUAAAGCCCUUUUGUUGGGAAAGAAAAGCAGCAGGUUAAUACCCCGCUGUUCUGACGGUACCCAAAGAAUAAGCACCGGCUAACUUCGUG
rnacentral:rRNA from 1 species